GAUGAACGCUGGCGGCGUGCCUAAUACAUGCAAGUAGAACGCUGAAGGAAGGAGCUUGCUCUUUCCGGAUGAGUUGCGAACGGGUGAGUAACGCGUAGGUAACCUGCCUGGUAGCGGGGGAUAACUAUUGGAAACGAUAACUAAUACCGCAUAACAGUAGAUGUUGCAUGAUAUCUACUUAAAAGGUGCAAUUGCACCACUACCAGAUGGACCUGCGUUGUAUUAGCUAGUUGGUGAGGUAACGGCUCACCAAGGCGACGAUACAUAGCCGACCUGAGAGGGUGAUCGGCCACACUGGGACUGAGACACGGCCCAGACUCCUACGGGAGGCAGCAGUAGGGAAUCUUCGGCAAUGGACGGAAGUCUGACCGAGCAACGCCGCGUGAGUGAAGAAGGUUUUCGGAUCGUAAAGCUCUGUUGUAAGAGAAGAACGAGUGUGAGAGUGGAAAGUUCACACUGUGACGGUAUCUUACCAGAAAGGGACGGCUAACUACGUG
rnacentral:rRNA from 1 species